rnacentral:tRNA from 1 species
GCUUGGGUGGCUCAGUUGGUUAAGCGUCUGACUUCGGCUCAGGUCAUGAUCUCGCGGUCCGUGGGUUCAAGCCCCGCGUCGGGCU